rnacentral:sRNA from 2 species
AUGUAGCCCGCGUCCACUGCUUUUCUGAGCGCGCCGUCCGCGCCCACCUGACGGCUGCUCGCGACGUGUUGUUAGCC